CUUUAGAUGCUUAGAAAUAACAGAACUUAAGUUUCCUUAAAGGUCACCUCACCAAACCCCAUAUUCAGUGCGUGAAUUGUAAUUGUAGGAUUUUCCACCUUGUUCGUCUGUAAAUGUCCUUCUAAAACUUGAUGAGAACAGUAGUCUUAUUCCUGUCCCUUUGGAGAACUAAAGUUAUGGUGCUCCUUAUGAGUCAGAGAUGUACCUUUAUAAUUUAUUCGUGAAAAAUUCCAGAGUAGUAUUAGGUAAUUAAAUAGAGCCUUGAC
rnacentral:lncRNA from 1 species